rnacentral:rRNA from 1 species
GGUUAAGCGACUAAGCGUACACGGUGGAUGCCCUGGCAGUCAGAGGCGAUGAAGGACGUGCUAAUCUGCGAUAAGCGUCGGUAAGGUGAUAUGAACCGUUAUAACCGGCGAUUUCCGAAUGGGGAAACCCAGUGUGUUUCGACACACUAUCAUUAACUGAAUCCAUAGGUUAAUGAGGCGAACCGGGGGAACUGAAACAUCUAAGUACCCCGAGGAAAAGAAAUCAACCGAGAUUCCCCCAGUAGCGGCGAGCGAACGGGGAGCAGCCCAGAGCCUGAAUCAGUGUGUGUGUUAGUGGAAGCGUCUGGAAAGGCACGCGAUACAGGGUGACAGCCCCGUACACAAAAAUGCACAUGCUGUGAGCUCGAUGAGUAGGGCGGGACACGUGGUAUCCUGUCUGAAUAUGGGGGGACCAUCCUCCAAGGCUAAAUACUCCUGACUGACCGAUAGUGAACCAGUACCGUGAGGGAAAGGCGAAAAGAACCCCGGCGAGGGGAGUGAAAAAGAACCUGAAACCGUGUACGUACAAGCAGUGGGAGCACGCUUAGGCGUGUGACUGCGUACCUUUUGUAUAAUGGGUCAGCGACUUAUAUUCUGUAGCAAGGUUAACCGAAUAGGGGAGCCGAAGGGAAACCGAGUCUUAACUGGGCGUUAAGUUGCAGGGUAUAGACCCGAAACCCGGUGAUCUAGCCAUGGGCAGGUUGAAGGUUGGGUAACACUAACUGGAGGACCGAACCGACUAAUGUUGAAAAAUUAGCGGAUGACUUGUGGCUGGGGGUGAAAGGCCAAUCAAACCGGGAGAUAGCUGGUUCUCCCCGAAAGCUAUUUAGGUAGCGCCUCGUGAAUUCAUCUCCGGGGGUAGAGCACUGUUUCGGCAAGGGGGUCAUCCCGACUUACCAACCCGAUGCAAACUGCGAAUACCGGAGAAUGUUAUCACGGGAGACUCACGGCGGGUGCUAACGUCCGUCGUGAAGAGGGAAACAACCCAGACCGCCAGCUAAGGUCCCAAAGUCAUGGUUAAGUGGGAAACGAUGUGGGAAGGCCCAGACAGCCAGGAUGUUGGCUUAGAAGCAGCCAUCAUUUAAAGAAAGCGUAAUAGCUCACUGGUCGAGUCGGCCUGCGCGGAAGAUGUAACGGGGCUAAACCAUGCACCGAAGCUGCGGCAGCGACACUAUGUGUUGUUGGGUAGGGGAGCGUUCUGUAAGCCUGUGAAGGUGUGCUGUGAGGCAUGCUGGAGGUAUCAGAAGUGCGAAUGCUGACAUAAGUAACGAUAAAGCGGGUGAAAAGCCCGCUCGCCGGAAGACCAAGGGUUCCUGUCCAACGUUAAUCGGGGCAGGGUGAGUCGACCCCUAAGGCGAGGCCGAAAGGCGUAGUCGAUGGGAAACAGGUUAAUAUUCCUGUACUUGGUGUUACUGCGAAGGGGGGACGGAGAAGGCUAUGUUGGCCGGGCGACGGUUGUCCCGGUUUAAGCGUGUAGGCUGGUUUUCCAGGCAAAUCCGGAAAAUCAAGGCUGAGGCGUGAUGACGAGGCACUACGGUGCUGAAGCAACAAAUGCCCUGCUUCCAGGAAAAGCCUCUAAGCAUCAGGUAACAUCAAAUCGUACCCCAAACCGACACAGGUGGUCAGGUAGAGAAUACCAAGGCGCUUGAGAGAACUCGGGUGAAGGAACUAGGCAAAAUGGUGCCGUAACUUCGGGAGAAGGCACGCUGAUAUGUAGGUGAAGUCCCUUGCGGAUGGAGCUGAAAUCAGUCGAAGAUACCAGCUGGCUGCAACUGUUUAUUAAAAACACAGCACUGUGCAAACACGAAAGUGGACGUAUACGGUGUGACGCCUGCCCGGUGCCGGAAGGUUAAUUGAUGGGGUCAGCGCAAGCGAAGCUCUUGAUCGAAGCCCCGGUAAACGGCGGCCGUAACUAUAACGGUCCUAAGGUAGCGAAAUUCCUUGUCGGGUAAGUUCCGACCUGCACGAAUGGCGUAAUGAUGGCCAGGCUGUCUCCACCCGAGACUCAGUGAAAUUGAACUCGCUGUGAAGAUGCAGUGUACCCGCGGCAAGACGGAAAGACCCCGUGAACCUUUACUAUAGCUUGACACUGAACAUUGAGCCUUGAUGUGUAGGAUAGGUGGGAGGCUUUGAAGUGUGGACGCCAGUCUGCAUGGAGCCGACCUUGAAAUACCACCCUUUAAUGUUUGAUGUUCUAACGUUGACCCGUAAUCCGGGUUGCGGACAGUGUCUGGUGGGUAGUUUGACUGGGGCGGUCUCCUCCUAAAGAGUAACGGAGGAGCACGAAGGUUAGCUAAUCCUGGUCGGACAUCAGGAGGUUAGUGCAAUGGCAUAAGCCAGCUUGACUGCGAGCGUGACGGCGCGAGCAGGUGCGAAAGCAGGUCAUAGUGAUCCGGUGGUUCUGAAUGAAGGGCCAUCGCUCAACGGAUAAAAGGUACUCCGGGGAUAACAGGCUGAUACCGCCCAAGAGUUCAUAUCGACGGCGGUGUUUGGCACCUCGAUGUCGGCUCAACACAUCCUGGGGCUGAAGUAGGUCCCAAGGGUAUGGCUGUUCGCCAUUUAAAGUGGUACGCGAGCUGGGUUUAGAACGUCGUGAGACAGUUCGGUCCCUAUCUGCCGUGGGCGCUGGAGAACUGAGGGGGGCUGCUCCUAGUACGAGAGGACCGGAGUGGACGCAUCACUGGUGUUCGGGUUGUCAUGCCAAUGGCACUGCCCGGUAGCUAAAUGCGGAAGAGAUAAGUGCUGAAAGCAUCUAAGCACGAAACUUGCCCCGAGAUGAGUUCUCCCUGACCCUUUAAGGGUCCUGAAGGAACGUUGAAGACGACGACGUUGAUAGGCCGGGUGUGUAAGCGCAGCGAUGCGUUGAGCUAACCGGUACUAAUGAACCGUGAGGCUUAACC